CUGUAAAAUACUGUAAAAAGCCAUGAGCGAAUUUGCAAAAGGAACAAUUAUUAUAAACUAUAAACAGACCGAGUGGACAAAGAAACAUCGCUAAAAGCUUUUAUUUUUAUUCCUUAAUUUUUAAAAUAUUAAAAGCCGACUUUUUUCCGAUAACGCUAUCGCCGACUCCGCACCAUAAACGCCGCUGCAACCAACGAGGCACCAGACAAUCAGCUGCCGAGGUGCCUGCGUAAAAAAAUUCAGUUGCUAUUUUAAUAGCAGCGAUUCUUAAACUCAUAGCAGAUAGCAGUUGCUACUAAACCAAAUAGCAGUGAAAAAGUAGCAGACUGCUAAAUAGCAACCCAACACUACCACCCUAUCCUACUUCUGGGUUAGGGCAUAAAUUUGUCGCCACUGAGUUACUUUUUUAAAUAACGUGACAAAUUUCAUGGCACCCAACGUGGGAUCCUAGUAAGUCCCGUAAGGCAGUUAUCGACAGAGAUAUAAAGAUACACAAGAAGCAACAAAAUGUGUUACGAAAAUGUCGAGGCACUCAACUACCGGCAACCAGAAGAAAAGUGAAUCUUGCCACGCGGUCGAAGAAAUGCCAAUGUCAAAGUUAUUGUAUGUGCCUGUUGCAGACGAUAUACCCAAGCGUCGUUUACAAAUCGCCAAAAACUAGGCAACUCGCCAUACUCACACGUCAAACGUCGUCAACUUCAUUACCUUUGUUUAAUAUAUUUUUUGUUGGCAACACUAAAAAUGUUCAGAGUGACCAACAUCAAAAGGACACAACCACUAUAAAAAUGGCGGCCACUAGGCUUGAGCUAAGUCGUGAAUUUGAAUUCACAGGUAUAACUGUUAACGCGAUUUUCUAUUCACUGUGAAUAUAACCUGUGAACGUGAAUUCACGAUUGAUCGCCGGUGGGCGAGAACUUUUCGUGUAGUUUAAUAUCAUGGCAGUGAAUUCGCAUAAUAAUAAGAAAAGUAUUACUAUUCUGUGUUUAUUAUGUUAAGGAUAGUUCAUACCCAGAUACAAAUAUUAAGGGGGCUAAAAGUAAAUAAAAAUUGGAGACAA